AGCGUCUCUCUCUUAAAUUUUCCCCAAUAUCUUUGUAUCUCCAUUUCAGAUGAAUUGUUCUCUUUCCAAGGGUUGAGGAGAACAUGGUCGUGGUUCAAGUGAAGCCACUACAGCCACUGCCUGACAAGUCUUCCACACUGAUAGACAGUGGCAGCAAACACACAAGGGAGGAUGGUGUGGUGGGACAAGAGGAUGCAGGGAGACGGCAGACAGAAUGGAAGCUACAGAUGAAAGAAGAGCAGGUCAAGCCAUGGCAGCAGACAGACAGACAGAGACAGAUUGGAUCAGAAAGUAUUAUUAUUUAGUGAGACAGGCCCACUGGAAGCUGUCAGUCUGCUGCGGCACGUGGCAAGAACCAAGUGUUGAGGAGCACACGUUGUCCCUUCACCAGUCAGCAGGUCUGGGCGGCUCGGAAGUCUCACUACAAACUGGAGAUCCAUUCUCUUGGACACAGCUGGAGUCGGACACAAGAUUCAAGAGGGAGUCAUUUUAACGAGAGCUUCAGGCAGAAAAUUCGAGUGGAUUUUCAUUUCUA